GUGGGGAAUAUUGGACAAUGGGGGGAACCCUGAUCCAGCCAUGCCGCGUGUGUGAAGAAGGUCUUCGGAUUGUAAAGCACUUUAAGUUGGGAGGAAGGGCAGUAAGUUAAUACCUUGCUGUUUUGACGUUACCGACAGAAUAAGCACCGGCUAACUUCGUGCCAGCAGCCGCGGUAAUACGAAGGGUGCAAGCGUUAAUCGGAAUUACUGGGCGUAAAGCGCGCGUAGGUGGUUUUGUAAGUUGGAGGUGAAAUCCCCGGGCUCAACCUGGGAACUGCCUCCAAAACUGCAUGACUAGAGUACGGUAGAGGGUAGUGGAAUUUCCUGUGUAGCGGUGAAAUGCGUAGAUAUAGGAAGGAACACCAGUGGCGAAGGCGACUACCUGGACUGAUACUGACACUGAGGUGCGAAAGCGUGGGGAGCAAACAGGAUUAGAAACCCGUGUAGUCC
rnacentral:rRNA from 1 species